rnacentral:rRNA from 1 species
AACGAACGCUGGCGGCAUGCCUAACACAUGCAAGUCGAACGAGACCUUCGGGUCUAGUGGCGCACGGGUGCGUAACGCGUGGGAAUCUGCCCUCUGGUUCGGAACAACAGUUGGAAACGACUGCUAAUACCGGAUAAUGACUUCGGUCCAAAGAUUUAUCGCCUGAGGAUGAGCCCGCGUCGGAUUAGCUUGUUGGUGAGGUAAAAGCUCACCAAGGCGACGAUCCGUAGCUGGUCUGAGAGGAUGAUCAGCCACACUGGGACUGAGACACGGCCCAGACUCCUACGGGAGGCAGCAGUGGGGAAUAUUGGACAAUGGGCGAAAGCCUGAUCCAGCAAUGCCGCGUGAGUGAUGAAGGCCUUAGGGUUGUAAAGCUCUUUUACCCGGGAUGAUAAUGACAGUACCGGGAGAAUAAGCCCCGGCUAACUCCGUGCCAGCAGCCGCCGCGGUAA